AAAAGCCGUUAUUUAUUUUGAGGUAUUUUUUUUAAGGCGCCGGCUUGUUGGGGAAAUAUAAUAGCGGUUAUUUUUAAAUUACAUUUCUAUCCCACCCAAAGCAGUGCAGGAUUUAGGGCAGUGCGGGUGGUUCCCUCACAGAGGACGCUGGAUUGAAGAGGUGCAUAAUAAUAAUAAUAAUACCUAUAUUUAUCUUUAUAAAUACUGAGAAGUUCCAGUAAAAAAGCAAUGCCAAAAGGAAUCAUUGUGAAACCAAGGGUAUAGGGCGGUAUAUAAAUUCAAUUAAUAAUAGUAAAAAUAAUAAUAUUGAGGGGGGAGGACAAAUUUUGCCCUCUCUCAAGGUGCCAUGUUACCAAAGUCUGCCCCCACCCAAAGGAGCCCAGGGUGGCAAACACAUUAAGCGAUAAAAUAAUUGAAACAUCAAAGAGCUUUAAUACAUUCAUAAAAUAUGAGGUAGCUGACCAACACUGAAUCAAACUGGAUUAUCUAAAAACACUUGGUUAUUAUUCGUGAUUGUUUAACCCAUGCUGUGCAGGAGGGUAAUGGGCUGUGGCUGAAAUCUCAGGGAAACAAAUGGGGUGGAAGUAAAUUUUGUGCGGUGGGGAUUGCAAGCCCUGGCUAACCCUUGGCAUUGUCUCUGCUUCUCAGCGGACCUCCGAGCCUCCUGAAUGCAUGUGAGGCAAGAAGGCUGCUCAUACGCUGAGCCACUGUUUGGAAAUGGCAUUAAAGCAGGACGGGGUGUCGGUUGUGCAACUCUAGCCAAGCAGCGCACCAUGCUCUCUGGCAACCGAAUGGAGCAGUAACUCUGGGCUCUGUGCAUCGUGAUCAGCUUCCUACUACACAGUAGGUGCCCUUGAUGUGGAAGGUUGGCAACUCUCCCUGCCACCUUGCUGCCAACAGCAAUUUUUGUGCUGCUCACCGCAGCCUGGUAUUCUGAUGUUGAGAACAGGCAAAGUGGUUCCUAGCAUGGAGAUCAAGUGAUGGGGGAAGCAGCCUGUGCUUAAUGUCUGUAUGCUGAAAGUGCAGAAGCAAGGUCUCUGCAAAAGCAAAGUGACCCAAAAGUUUAGAUUAGGUUGCAACUUUGGUUGAUAUCCAGUGCUAGUUAUCUACAGAGCAGGACCCAAUGAAAUUCAUUGAUUCCAGUAAAUCUGCUUGGCUAGCUUAUGCCCACUUGCCACCUGGGAGUAAGCCCCAGCUGAGCUCAAUGACUUUAUGAGUAGCCGUGUCUAGGAUUUGCACGUCGUUUCCAGUGAAAUAUGAUAGCUGUGACUAACUCAUCCCACUGAUUUCAGCUGGAAUGAACUGUUACUUAGGCUGCAAUCCUGUACAACCUUACCUGAGAACAAGCGCAAUCUUACUCUCAAAGGCACAUACUUCUGAGUAGACAUUAUAGGAUUGUGCCUUUAGUCUGGAUACAACCCACAGUAAAAUCAGAGUUCAGAAAUUAUCCCAUUCACAAGUGUUUCUAACAAUCAUUUGGUAGCAAGGUAUACUUGCAUAAAACUAUGGAAAGCUGGCAUGUUGUGUUUUCUUUGCUUAGUCUCUGGGACAAGACUUACUCAGACGUAUGGAAGCUUUGGCCCUCAAUAUGCUGCUAAACUACAGUACCCAUCACCCCUGGCCAUGCUUGGUGGGGCUGAAGGGAGUUGUUGUUCAGCAACAUCAUGAAGGCCUAAGGUGCCCCAUGCCUGGACUGGAUGGCCUUGAGAAACAGUACUAAAAACUAUUGAUCCAAAUGCACCACAAAAAUGUAGGCUUAUAUCCAUUGCUGAAUUAGGAAGCUCCCAGAAUUACGUUCCUUCAAAAAGGGGGAGAAAAGAUAACAAACCAUAUAAUUAGAAGCUGAAACUGCUAAUUUCAGUGUUGUAAUUAUGCAAAUAUAACAUUGCUGAAACACAAAUCACCAAUAUAGGUUGAUUGUUUUAAAUGACUGAUAACCUAAAGGGAAGCUGCACGUGUGCUUUCUAUACCCAAUCAUUUGGAGGGAAGAGGUCCUUUUAAUUCAUAUGUAUUAACAUGCAAUGAUUCCAUUGUAGAUGCACUGUAGACAAAGAAACACUGGAAAGAUAAGAGUUUCAUAUUCUAAGACUGUGUUUUCAUGAGCAAAAUGCUAACAUUGGGAAUAGAAUACACAUGGUUAGGAUGGUAAUUAAAUUGCAUUUACAAAAUGCUUUUUUGUUUAAAAAUACACAAAAUGUACAAUAAAUCAAAUAAUGGAUUUGAUUUCUAAAGAGCUAACUCAACAGAAUGUAUCUUUCUUAUAAAUGAAUAGUUUUGCACCGCGAUUGCAAUUUACUCAGAACUGUUCAUUGGAGUUGUCCUGAGGGUUAUGAAGUCCGGGUCAUCCAGACUCAGUGGACAGCAUGUUGUAAUUUAUUUUCACAGUACAAUACUUUGCAGAUAAAAUUGCACGCCUCCACCUCAGUCUGAAAGCCAGUUUUGUUGCAACUAAGUUGCUGGCUGCUACUCAGAAGGCAUCUUGUUUGGGUUCAGUGGAUCAAGAUAUUGUUUUUAAUCCUGUAACAGACCCUGGGACCUUACGGCGAAGGGCGGAAAAAUCAAUCAAUCAAUCAAUCAAAUCAUGUCCAUAAAGUGCACAUUUAGUCAUUCUUUGCUGGGGGAAGAUGUCCAUAUAGGUCUGGAAGUUACUAAUGCCUCUUUAAGAGAUAAGAUGGUCCCAGCUGCUUGGACCACUCCCCAAAAAAUUCUCUGAAAACCUGAAAAUUGUUCUAAUUGCUGGCUAGUCUCAACUCUCCACAUUUUGGUUAAAAGUUCCCAAACACUCUUGAAGGACACAUUAUGUGGAUCCAUUUCAGUCUGGCAUCUGGCCUGGGUUUAGUCCUGAAACUACAUUGGGUGUCCUGAUGGACAACCUGCGCUGGGAGAAAAAGGAGAACCAUGGUGACCUUUCUAAUUCCCCUGGGCAUCUCAGUGGUUUUCGAUAUCAUGGGCCAAGGUAUUUUUCUGGACUGUCUAGGUUAGCGACUGGGAGUAUAGAAAGCACCCAUGCAGCAUACAAAUGUGAAGCUAAGGGCAAUCCUAACUUGCUGGAUAACUUUGGCUCAACCCAGAAGGAAAAUACCCACACAACUUUUGUGGUAGCAAAUACCAGAAGACGUGCAAGAGCUGUGCGCCAUGGCAUUUAUGCUAUGCAAGACAGAAGGACCAAAUAUUGUCUUCUGUGCUAUUUCACAUCUACCUCAUGGUUGGGGAACCUUCAACCCAUGAGCCAAAGUUAUCCAAUGAGUUCAGAUUGCCCAUAGCUGGACCUUUGUAUGCAUUCACCGUCUAGUCUUUUCCUUUUCUAUCCUAUCUGGGAUCAGUUCUCAUAGGGCAAAAGAAUCUAUUCAGCAUAUCCUGAGAGGUGUGGUGGCAAUGGCGGGACUCAAAUGUUCUCAUUAUUUCAAUAUUUAUUUAUUAUUACCAUGUCCGUAAUAAAACCAACCCGUAUGUUACGCCAUGUUUAAAUAAUGCAUAAUCUUGCAUUCUUGCUAUUCGAUUAUUGCGAAUGUAUCUAUCAUUAUGGACACUUAUGUGUUGCUUAAUGGGUAGUUUGGGAUUUGACAAUAUAACUCCAUAAUGUCCCUUUAAUGACGGUUUGUUUCCUCAGUGAGUUGGUUUGCUUUAUUGUCUUGAUUGGCUGUUUGGGCUUCAGGAGUAAGUGGUGGCAGUAUGGGGGCUGAAGGCUGAUAUGCCUGUCAGAAGUAGCACAGCUGCAGAAUUUAUUAACCAUGCUGGCCCCUAUUAGCCUAUUACACCUGGCAGGUGAUGUAACAUCCUUCACAGCCUCCCAAUACCUUAUGGAACAGGUGUGAGGCAUUUGGUCUAAGGUAUACACAGUUCCCUGAUGGGGCCUGACCUUUUGACAUAACAGGAGGGGGAAGUAAUCUAUCUUGCUUGUGCUAUGUUAUUCUGCUUAACGACUGCUCCACUGCUUUUUAUUAUGUAUUCAAGCCUGCUACUUAAUAAAAGCACUGAACUUCU